CGGAGCCAAUUUUCAAGAUCUAUUUAACACGGCAGAGAUGUUAUCGAAGAGAAAUAAAGAGAUCCGUGGGGUGUAAAAAGGAAUGAAACUAAAAAUUGACGAGCAGAUCUGAAACUGUAGAAAUAACACAGAAACCCUAAAAUUUUUUGGCUGUAAAUGAGAAGGGAGGAAGAGGGGAGGAAGUCUGUGUUUGAAUUUUUCUGCGUCCGCCACAAAUGAGAAAAUGUUAAUAGCAGACAGCGAGAGAGAGAGAGAGAGAGA
rnacentral:misc_RNA from 1 species